rnacentral:rRNA from 1 species
GACGAACGCUGGCGGCGUGCUUAACACAUGCAAGUCGAACGGAAAGGCCCUGCUUUUGUGGGGUGCUCGAGUGGCGAACGGGUGAGUAACACGUGAGUAACCUGCCCUUGACUUUGGGAUAACUUCAGGAAACUGGGGCUAAUACCGGAUAGGAGCUCCUGCUGCAUGGUGGGGGUUGGAAAGUUUCGGCGGUUGGGGAUGGACUCGCGGCUUAUCAGCUUGUUGGUGGGGUAGUGGCUUACCAAGGCUUUGACGGGUAGCCGGCCUGAGAGGGUUACCGGCCACAAUGGGACUGAGAUACGGCCCAGACUCCUACGGGAGGCAGCAGGGGGGAAUAUUGCACAAUGGGCGGAAGCCUGAUGCAGCAACGCCGCGUGCGGGAUGACGGCCUUCGGGUUGUAAACCGCUUUCGCCUGUGACGAAGCGUGAGUGACGGUAAUGGGUAAAGAAGCACCGGCUAACUACGUG